AGGGGCUUUUAAAUUGCCCCGGACAGCGGAGAAGUCCUCCGCUGUCCCGGGGCAAUUUUAAAAUGCCGCCCGCCAGCAUUUUAAGAUCGCCCCGGACAGCGGAGAAGCCCUCCGCUGUCCCGGGGUUUUUUAAAAUGCUGGGGGUGGGAAGAAAAGCCCUUGUCCCCCCCCCCCAGCCUUCAGAAGAGGUCGGGGGACAGACUGUCCCCGGACCUGGUCUGAAGUCGGUUUCCCUAGGAACGCAUGAAUUGAUUUUCAAUGCAUUCCUAUGGGAAACCGUGCAUCGCAAGACGAAAAACUCGCAAGAAGAAAAAACUUGCGGAACGAAUUAAUUUCGUCUUGCGAGGCACCACUGUACU